rnacentral:lncRNA from 1 species
ACGUACAGUAUCCUUCAAUAAAUUCCGAGGGGGGUGCUUGGAGAAUGAAGACAUCUGUCGGAUCCCAACUAAACCCUUUGAAAAUAUUUCGCGCAAACUUGAUACCGUGCAGACGCAAACUUGACGUGUAGACCGAAAAGGUAAUCAUAACAACUCAGAACAGCAGGAUUCAAGGAUGAAUUGAACAAGAAACUGGAAGAAGUAAGCAAGAAAACGAUUCAUUCAAUAUCCGAAACGCAAGAAUUGAUCCAGCAACUGACGGCCUACACAUGUCAACAAAUGUUGGAGGAGACAACGACCAAAAUGGAGAAUCUUUGUAAUCAGUUGUUGAUUAAGAAUGAACACAAUAGAAAUCUUGACAGAAAGACUCGCAAAGCAGAAUACAUAUUAGCUGGCCAAGAGACCUCUCAGCGAUUAAUAUGCUGAUUUGGAAAAAAACAAAUUGCUUAUCUUAAGUUUCAGUUGUCUGAAAAGGCUAUUGAACUCCAGUGCAAGGAAAGGAAGAUUGAGGAAACUGAGAAUGCCUUGAAAGACUUGUCGCUACAUUCUCAUAGCAAUGAACAGUUGACCAUUGUCGAAGAAAGCAAUCGCGAACUUUAGGGCAAAUUUGAUGAAAAGGCCCAGGAACUUGAAGCUGCUCUUGUUUGUCGAGAGAAUUCACAACGAUUAAAAGCCGAUCUCGAUAAGUCAAAGUCAAUAGAACUACAGUAGAGCGGAUGGAAGAAAUGGAGAGAGCCUUAGAUGAAUUGACACUAAAGUUUCUUAACACUGAGCGGGCAGAAUCCUGCCGAUCAGAAGUGGACAACUGGACAUGCCGAGACAACAAGAAAAGUUGGAGAUAGGCGCUUUGAAAACAUCCUUAAAUUUAAAGAAUUUAGAACUUGAGAGUAUCAGCGGUGAAUACGAAGAGGCCCAGUAGAUUAUGGCGUCAUCGGAAAGAAAGAUAGCCGAUCUCGAGUCAGCCUUCUGGAGCGAAGAUUGGAAACGGAAAGUGAACAGGCUUCUUUCCCUAACCAACAACCUGUGAUAAAGGCUGCCGUGGAACCAGCACGUUCGCUUCGGCCCAUCUUGAAGCAAACAUUUUCUGAUGUCAAACAACAGGAACUGGCUUCACAAGAUGCAAGGACACCGUUUUAGCUAUAAAAAAAAGGUUAAUAAAGGUUAUACUUUUGAACCUAGAAAGGAGAUGCAUCUAAAACUGCCAUGGAUACUUUAAAUCUUUUGCAGAAAGCUAAUGCUAUUGUAAGACCCUAUUUGUUGAUGUCGUGCCGUCGCAAACUUGAUGCCAUGAAUGAUAUGAAUUGAUGAUGCAAUACAAUGAAUUAUGCAAACAGCGUA